UGGGGAAUAUUGGGCAAUGGGCGAAAGCCUGACCCAGCAACGCCGCGUGAGUGAUGAAGGCCUUCGGGUUGUAAAACUCUUUGGACAGGGACGAAGAAAGUGACGGUACCUGUAGAACAAGCCACGGCUAACUACGUGCCAGCAGCCGCGGUAAUACGUAGGUCCCGAGCGUUGUCCGGAUUUAUUGGGCGUAAAGCGAGCGCAGGCGGUUAGAAAAGUCUGAAGUGAAAGGCAGUGGCUCAACCAUUGUAGGCUUUGGAGACUGUUUAACUUGAGUGCAGAAGGGGAGAGUGGAAUUCCAUGUGUAGCGGUGAAAUGCGUAGAUAUAUGGAGGAACACCGGUGGCGAAAGCGGCUCUCUGGUCUGUAACUGACGCUGAGGCUCGAAAGCGUGGGGAGCGAACAGG
rnacentral:rRNA from 1 species